rnacentral:lncRNA from 10 species
UUUAUCUUGCAUGCAUAAUGUGUAAAAGAGAAUUUUUUUUCAAAUUUAUUUUUCACAUGCAUUUUUCACUAAGGACACCUUGAUGGAAACCAUAGAUGUCUUCAGAUUCUGUCAGAAACUGGUUACUGAAAUAGCCAGCCUUAUGUAGCAUUAUCCUCUAGUGUCUUUAUGGUACAUAAAACCUAACAGUCACCCACCCUGGCUAUCACCACAAUAAAACCUCACAAACUAUAUUUUGAAAAUUUCAACAUACUUAUUUAGAUAACAACUUAUAAAAUUCAUCAGGAAAUGUUGUGAUAUUGCAUUUCCCAUAAACAUAACAAAUAUAACAAGAUGGCAAUUUCUGAACAUGUUCAUGGACUAAAUAUUAACCUGUUUCCAAAAGCACAGUGUGAUUUACAUCCAAUGUUUUGAUUGUUUUGGGUGUUUUCUAUGGAUUUAGAUCAUAUAGUGUCUUUUUAAAGGGGAAUGAUUUAUCAACAAUUUUUUCCUUUAGUAACUUAGGCUUUUUAUUUCUCCUUAAAAUCUUUUUUUUACAGAAGUAACUCCAGUGUGAAUAUAAGCCUAUGCAUACAAAUUCAUUCAAUUACUGGAUUCAAAAAUUGUUUUC